rnacentral:rRNA from 1 species
UACGGGGGGGGUAAGCGUUGUUCGGAAUUACUGGGCGUAAAGGGCUCGUAGGCGGCCAACUAAGUCAGACGUGAAAUCCCCUCAGCUUAACUGGGGAACUGCGUCUGAUACUGGAUGGCUUGGAUUCGGGAGAGGAAUGCGGAAUUCCAGGUGUAGCGGUGAAAUGCGUAGAUAUCUGGAGGAACACCGGUGGCGAAGGCGGCAUUCUGGACCGACAUUGACGCUGAGGAGCGAAAAGCGUGGGAGCAAACA